AUUGAACGCUGGCGGCAGGCCUAACACAUGCAAGUCGAACGGUAACAGGAAGAAGCUUGCUUCUUUGCUGACGAGUGGCGGACGGGUGAGUAAUGUCUGGGAAACUGCCUGAUGGAGGGGGAUAACUACUGGAAACGGUAGCUAAUACCGCAUAACGUCGCAAGACCAAAGAGGGGGACCUUCGGGCCUCUUGCCAUCGGAUGUGCCCCGAUGGGAUUAGCUAGUAGGUGGGGUAACGGCUCACCUAGGCGACGAUCCCUAGCUGGUCUGAGAGGAUGACCAGCCACACUGGAACUGAGACACGGUCCAGACUCCUACGGGAGGCAGCAGUGGGGAAUAUUGCACAAUGGGCGCAAGCCUGAUGCAGCCAUGCCGCGUGUAUGAAGAAGGCCUUCGGGUUGUAAAGUACUUUCAGCGGGGAGGAAGGGAGUAAAGUUAAUACCUUUGCUCAUUGACGUUACCCGCAGAAGAAGCACCGGCUAACUCCGUG
rnacentral:rRNA from 1 species